rnacentral:rRNA from 1 species
AGGAUUAACGCUGGCGGAGUGCCUAACACAUGCAAGUCGAGCGGCAGCGCGAGUAGUUUACUACUUGGCGGCGAGCGGCGGACGGCUGAGUAACGCGUGGGAACGUGCCCCAAAGUGAGGAAUAACUGCCCGAAAGGGUAGCUAAUUCCGCAUAUGAUCGUUCGGAUUAAAGGAUUUAUCCGCUUUGGGAGCGGCCCGCGUCAGAUUAGGUAGUUGGUGAGGUAAAGGCUCACCAAGCCGACGAUCUGUAGCUGGUCUGAGAGGAUGACCAGCCAGACUGGAACUGAGACACGGUCCAGACUCCUACGGGAGCAGCAGUGAGGAAUCUUCACAAUGGAACGAAAGUCUGAUGGAGCAACUCCGCGUGCAGGAUGAAGGCCUUCGGGUACGUAAACUUGUCUUUUAGUGAAGUGAAGAAUAUAGACGGUAACUCAUAGAAUAAGGUCGACGUAACGUACGUGACCCGUA